rnacentral:rRNA from 1 species
CUACGUGCCAGCAGCCGCGGUAAUACGUAGGUGGCGAGCGUUGUCCGGAAUUAUUGGGCGUAAAGGGAGCGCAGGCGGGCGAGUAAGUCUUUCUUAAAAGUGCGGGGCUCAACCCCGUGAGGGGAGAGAAACUACUCAUCUUGAGUGCAGGAGAGGAAAGCGGAAUUCCUAGUGUAGCGGUGAAAUGCGUAGAUAUUAGGAAGAACACCAGUGGCGAAGGCGGCUUUCUGGACUGUAACUGACGCUGAGGCUCGAAAGCCAGGGGAGCGAACGGGAUUAGAUACCCCGGUAGUCCUGGCCGUAAACGAUGAAUGCUAGGUGUAGGGGGUAUCGACCCCUCCUGUGCCGGAGUUAACGCAAUAAGCAUUCCGCCUGGGGAGUACGGUCGCAAGACUGAAACUCAAAGGAAUUGACGGGGGCCCGCACAAGCGGAGGAACAUGUGGUUUAAUUCGAUGAUACGCGAGGAACCUUACCCGGGCU